rnacentral:tRNA from 1 species
GAAAGAUUAGUUAAUACAUAACAUCAGAAUGUCAAACUGAAGUAAUCAGAAAGAUAUCUUUCU